UACGUAGGGUGCGAGCGUUAAUCGGAAUUACUGGGCGUAAAGCGUGCGCAGGCGGCGGCUCAAGUCAGGUGUGAAAAUCCCCCGGGCUUAACCUGGGAAUUGCGCUUGAAACUAGGUCGCUAGAGUGUGGCAGAGGGGGGUGGAAUUCCGACGUGUAGCAGUGAAAUGCGUAGAGAUGUGGAGGAACACCGAUGGCGAAGGCAGCCCCUGGGUCAACACUGACGCUCAUGCACGAAAGCGUGGGGAGCAAACAGG
rnacentral:rRNA from 1 species